AUUGAACGCUGGCGGCAGGCUUAACACAUGCAAGUCGAGCGAGCGGCGGACGGGUGAGUAAUGUCUGGGAAACUGCCUGACGUAGGGGGAUAACUACUGGAAACGGUAGCUAAUACCGCAUACCAUCAGAUGUGCCCAGAUGGGAUUAGCUAGUAGGGUGGGUAAUGGCUCUCCUAGGCGACGAUCCCUAGCUGGUCUGAGAGGAUGACGAGCGACACUGGAACUGAGACGCGGUACAGACUCCUACGAGAGGCAGGAGUGGGGACAAUUGCACAAUGGGCGCAAGGCUGAUGCAGCCAUGCCGCGUAUGUGAAGGAGGCCUUCGGGUUGUAAAGGACUUUCAGCGAGGAGGCGUUACUCGCAGAAGAAGCACCGGCUAACUCCGUGCCAGCAGCCGCGGUAAUUC
rnacentral:rRNA from 1 species